AGUGAACGCUGGCGGUAGGCCUAACACAUGCAAGUCGAACGGCAGCACAGGAGAGCUUGCUCUCUGGGUGGCGAGUGGCGGACGGGUGAGGAAUACAUCGGAAUCUACUCUGUCGUGGGGGAUAACGUAGGGAAACUUACGCUAAUACCGCAUACGACCUACGGGUGAAAGCAGGGGACCUUCGGGCCUUGCGCGAUUGAAUGAGCCGAUGUCGGAUUAGCUAGUUGGCGGGGUAAAGGCCCACCAAGGCGCAGAUCCGUAGCUGGUCUGAGAGGAUGAUCAGCCAGACUGGAACUGGAACACGGUCCAGACUCCUACGUGAGGCAGCAGUGGGGAAUAUUGGACAAUGGGCGCAAGCCUGAUCCAGCCAUACCGCGUGGGUGAAGAAGGCCUUCGGGUUGUAAAGCCCUUUUGUUGGGAAAGAAAUCCAGCUGGCUAAUACCCGGUUGGGAUGACGGUACCCAAAGAAUAAGCACCGGCUAACUUCGUGCCAGCCGCCGCCGUAA
rnacentral:rRNA from 1 species